ensembl:lncRNA
UGUUUAUCAGUACCAUUUUGUUUAUCAGUACCACUUUGUUUAUCAGUACCACUUUGUUUAUCAGUACCACUUUGUUUAUUUUUGUCACUCUGUUUAUUGUCACUACUUUGCUCACUACCCUUGAUAUUAAUGUUACUGCUACUAUGUGAUCUUGCGACGUUGUCAUGAUUUAUUUGUAUUUCUGGAUUUCUAUUACUAUUUAUAUUUAUAUUAUUUUUCUGUGUAACAUUUUUGAGUUGUUCAUAAUAUAAUGUAUUUUUUUUUAUUUCAUCUGUUGUUAUUUUUGUCUCGUUUUCUUUAUAUUUCAUUGUUAUAUCUUCAUUAUUUAUUUUAGAUAAAUCGUGGUAAAAUAAAUUAGUUGGGAAUGUUUUUAUUAUUGUAUUAUAUAUGGCUUUUUUUUCUUCGUCAUUUUCGUAUACUAUACUAUCUCCUUGUAUGUUUUUUAAAUUGUUGCAUGUACUAUUAUGUUUGUUAACUGUGUAAUUUUCUUCACUAACUAUGUAGUUAUGUUUGUUAACUGUUUGGUUUUCUUUGUUACCUGUUUGAUUUUGUUUGUUUUGUAACGGAAUAGAGUAAUCAUUGUUUACCCAUUGAUUCACUCGAUGUGCAUCGGUAAAAUAACCUAAACUUUUUGACCUGUUAUAAUUAUUACUGUUACUUAUUUCCUUUUUUUUAUUUUUAAAAUAUAGGUUCAUUGAUUUAUUUUGUUUUAAAACUUUAUCAAAUUUUUUCUCACCACAAAAACUAUUAUUUUUUACAUAAGAACAUAUUUUAGAAAAAAUACUACUAUUUUGGCGUUUUUCUUUUAUGUGUUUUGUAUUAUCUUUUUUUUUAGAAGAAAGUUUAUUUAAAGGCCAACAUAAUGAGCUCUGUAAGUUUUGAUUUUCUGUUUUUAAAAUUCCCCUUCUAGUCUUUUGUGGAAUAGUUGUAUUAUAUGCACCUCCAAUUGGAUUACUCAGGGAAAUAUAAAUAGGAUCACCGACAUGUCGACUCAUGGCAGAAUUAUCAUUGUUCAAACUAUUGUUCAAACUAUUGUUUAAACUGUUGUUUUUCAAACUAUUAUUCAAACUGUUGUUGUUCAAACUAUUGUUUAAACUGUUGUUUUUCAAACUAUUAUUCAAACUGUUGUUGUUCAAACUAUUGUUUAAACUGUUGUUUUUCAAACUAUUAUUCAAACUGUUGUUGUUCAAACUAUUAUUCAAACUNNNNNNNNNNUUCAAACUAUUAUUCAAACUGUUGUUGUUCAAACUAUUAUUCAAACUGUUGUUGUUCAAACUAUUGUUCAAACUGUUGUUGUUCAUGUUUUUAUUAAGACUAAUGUUAAUACUACUAUUAUAAGAAGACCGAUUAAGAACAUUAUCUCUAUUACUAUAUCCAUUAGCUACACUAUCAGUAGCAAUAUUAUAACAAUCCAUGUUAAGUCGAUAAGAAUCUAAAGGAUUAAAAAAUUUAUUAUCGGAUUUAGUAUAAUAACAAGAUAAAGAUAAACGAGGAUUCUUCGAUAUAGACUUUUCACUUUUUGUAAACUCGUCUAAUUUUGAAUUAGAUGAUAAAACAGAUGGAAUUGUUUUAUUUUUAUUUGAUUGAUAAUUUGAACUAAAAUUUUUUUUAUCAUUAUUUUUAUUAUUAACAUAAGAAUUAUUUAUUAUAUUAUAUGAUUUAUUUUGUGGUAAAGAAUAUGAUGACUUUAUAUUAUUAGGAAUAUUUAAAUUAUAUGACAUGUUCAUAUUUUUUAUUUCAUUUGUAUUAGUUUUAUUAUUUAUUGUUGUCAUACUUCUAUAAAUACCUUUUUUAUCAGAUUUGGUAUUAUUUACACGAUUAUAAAAAAUAUUAGAAUUGUUGUUUGUCGGCCUGAGCUGCAUUAAUUUAUUUGUAGUUUUACACAUAGAUGCAACUUUCAAUUUAUAUAAACAAUUAUUAUUGUUUACUUUUGCAUUAUUAUUGUUUACCUUUGCAUUAUUAUUGUUUACUUUUGCAUUAUUAUUGUUUACUUUUGCAUUAUUAUUGUUAUUUUCAUCAGUAAUCCUAAUUGUAUAAUUACUAGGAUAUGUACCAUUAUUAUUAUUAUUACUAGUAGUAGUUAUAUAUUUUAACAUGUUAUUAUCCGUUUCGUUAUUUUUUUUUUUUAAUACAGUUGGAUUGUUACUGUAGUAGUCAUAAUAGUUAUAUUUAUUUAUUACAUCAUUUGAUGUAUAUGGAUUAACUGUUUUAUAAUUAUUAUUUACCCCAUCGUUGGUGUUUACCUUAUUAUUAAUGUUUGUCUCAUUAUUAAUGUUUGCCCCAUUGUUUAUAUUUUUCCUAUAAUAUGUAUUUAUAUUACUGUAUGUAUUUUCCCUAUCAUGUGUAUAUACUGGGUUGUAUACAUUAUUUCCCAUAUCGUUCGUAUUAGUUCCAAUAUGUUUAUUAGUAUUGAUAUGUCCAUUCAUACUAGCAUACUUUGCAGUAUCAACAUACUUUGAAAUGUUAGUAUACCCAUUUUUUAUUUUACUUUUCUUUAAAAUAAAUUCAACGGGAUCAGAUGGACCA